AAAAUUUAGUUAAAAUAUAACAGUAGUUUGUCAAGCUAAAAUUAUAGAAAUAUAAUUUUUA
rnacentral:tRNA from 1 species